ACGAACGCUGGCGGCGUGCCUAAUACAUGCAAGUCGAGCGGACUGAUUAAGAGCUUGCUCUUCUGACGUUAGCGGCGGACGGGUGAGUAACACGUGGGCAACCUGCCCUGUAGAUCGGGAUAACACCGAGAAAUCGGUGCUAAUACCGGGUAAUAUCUGAGAUCACAUGAUCUUAGGUUAAAAUAUGGCUCCGGCUAUCACUACAGGAUGGGCCCGCAGCGCAUUAGCUAGUUGGUAAGGUAAUGGCUUACCAAGGCGACGAUGCGUAGCCGACCUGAGAGGGUGAUCGGCCACACUGGGACUGGGACACGGCCCAGACACCUACGGGAGGCAGCAGUAGGGAAUCUUCCGCAAUGGACGAAAGUCUGACGGAGCAACGCCGCGUGAGUGAUGAAGGGUUUCGGCUCGUAAAGCUCUGUUGUUAGGGAAGAAACAGUAACGAACGAACUAGGUCGGUACCUUGACGGUACCUAACCAGAAAGCCACGGCUAACUACGUG
rnacentral:rRNA from 1 species